AACGAACGCUGGCGGCAUGCCUAACACAUGCAAGUCGAACGGUGCCUUCGGGCACAGUGGCGCACGGGUGAGUAACACGUGGGAACCUGCCUUUCGGUUCGGAAUAACGUCUGGAAACGGACGCUAACACCGGAUACGCCCCGCUGGGGGAAAGUUUACGCCGAGAGAGGGGCCCGCGCCGGAUUAGGUAGUUGGUGGGGUAAUGGCCUACCAAGCCGACGAUCCGUAGCUGGUCUGAGAGGAUGAUCAGCCACACUGGGACUGAGACACGGCCCAGACUCCUACGGGAGGCAGCAGUGGGGAAUAUUGGACAAUGGGCGCAAGCUUGAUCCAGCCAUGCCGCGUGAGUGAUGAAGGCCUUAGGGUUGUAAAGCUCUUUCAGUGGGGACGAUAAUGACGGUACCCACAGAAGAAGCCCCGGCUAACUUCGUGCCAGCCGCCGCGGUAAGAC
rnacentral:rRNA from 1 species